UACGUAGGUGGCAAGCGUUGUCCGGAUUUACUGGGCGUAAAGAGCGCGCAGGCGGUCGGUCAAGUCGAGUGUGAAAGCCCCCGGCUCAACUGGGGAGGGUCACGCGAUACUGAUCGACUCGAAGGCAGGAGAGGGUAGUGGAAUUCCCGGUGUAGUGGUGAAAUGCGUAGAUAUCGGGAGGAACACCAGUGGCGAAGGCGACUACCUGGCCUGUUCUUGACGCUGAGGCGCGAAAGCUAGGGGAGCAAACGGG
rnacentral:rRNA from 1 species